rnacentral:misc_RNA from 1 species
GGGAUCGGGAUGAAUAUUAUUAUUUGAGUACCUUGCACCAAGCACUACCCUGUGAAGCGGAAACAAAUAGUAAAUGCCUGAGUUGACCUUUAAAGUGAAAUAACUUUUCAGUGCGUUGUACACACUCGUAGGUCAGCUCAGUACUUACAGCUUCUGCUGACCGGCUGAUCGAUCAGAGUCGGAGCCAGGAGGACACCGAGCAAUCAGCCAGCGCCAUUUGCUGAACGACAGCAAUCUGUCAGAUGACGAAAGGAGGUGCACUCACAGGUCGCCACCCGGCGCCAUUAGCGCGGCGCGGAGAUGCUGAUGCGCGGCACCGAGGCUGGUGGACGAGGGGACAGGGAGGAGUCUGUGGACACAAGUGCGUCAGUGGAACUCUUUCGAAGCCUUUCCACCUUUCCACACCCUUUAAUGUCGUGUGCGAGCCGUUGCAUGCUGGGGCCGGGCGCAGCAGGGAUGUACACGCGGUGCUUGUGGGAGCCGUGGGUAGGAAAUUAACGGGAAUGCGAAAUCAGAGAUUGCACUCGGGUACAGCAUUGUUUGUGGACUUUCUUUGUAAAGCUGCUGCAGUUGAAAGCUGAAUGCGGAUUGUUUUGUGUUACUAGUCUCGUAAUCACCAGGGAUUCAUUGCACGAGGCCACGCACCGCUGCGCCUCUUUACUUUUGUAAAUGUGUAUUUGUGUGUGGGUGUGUGUGGUGUACUAUAUGUGCAUUUUUGUGUAUGUUGUGUGGAUUUGUAUGUAUGGUAUUUUUGUGUGUGUGCAUGCUGCGUAAAAAGAAGAAUGAUACAUUAAAAAAGAAGAUAUUGGAUUCUAUACCCGGCUCUUCUCUAUUAGUAGCGGCACAGUUUUAUACACCCCCAGGAACUCGCCUGUCUGCCAUCUCGCGUUGUUAGUACCAACUACAAUGUCUUUUCCACAUAUACUUUGAUACCCCGGAGGUUUUCUGCCUAUGUGGCUGUGUGGGGCCACCACAGCUGUGCCCUGCCCACCACAGCUGUGCCCUGCCCACCACAGCUGUGCCCUGCCCACCACAGCUGUGCCCUGCCUGACAUGCUCAGAGAUGCGAAGUAAGCUGAUUGUAGCACAAUAAACGCAGAAAUCCGUUUUCAUACCUCGGCCAAUCUACCACCGGCAACUGUUCCCAUAAUGUAGGCCAGAAUGACUUUCGCAAUGAAUCUUUUUAUCACCAGAAAUUACCGGAAGCCACGUACUGACCGCUUAGGACGGUUUUUACAAUGAGCAUAUACAGUCAGCAGUAAUUGGUCCCUUUUGGCCUUUUACUGUGUUUGACGCUGAGAGACAGACUUGCACAGUGACAUACAUGAGGUCUGUCUACAGGACUGGGGUGUCUAGUCAGGACUUGCUGUCAGGGUAUAGGUGGUCUAGCAAGUACUAGACACCACUGGGGUACAGGCCACCUGCUCAAGGUAUCUAGUGAGGAUCCAGCAUCAUUACUGUGAGGGAUUUUUAUCUAAUGAGGACUCGUCACCCCUGCUCAGGUUGUUUUUAUUUGUUUGUUUGGUUUUUUGUUGGUUUUUUUUUGUUGUUUUUUUGGAUAGCGAGGAAAUAUCGCCACUAUUUUUUUUUAAAGCUUGAAUAAGGACCCAUCGCCACUGCUGGGAGGGGUUUUGCUGUCUAUUAGUCUCAUUAUUACCUGUCACCAUUGUUGAGGACCUUUGCUGCUUGUUGCCUAGUGAGGACAUAAUUAGUACUAUGAAGGCUCUUGUUGUCUAGUGAGAUCCUGUCAUGACUACUGUGGUGGCGGUUGUUGUCCAUGAGGACCUGUCAUGACUACUGGUAGGGCGCUUGUCUAGUGAGGACAUAUAAAGGCUCUUGUUGUCUAGUGAGGUCCUGUCAUCACUGUGAGGGUGCUUGUCUAGUGAGGUCCUGUCAUCACUGUGAGGGUGCUUGUCUAGUGAGGUCCUGUCAUUACUGUGAGGGUGCUCGUCUACUGAGGACCUGUCAUCACCACUGUGAAAGUAAGAGAAGACAGGAGCGGUGUAGCCUGCUAGCGGCCUGGUCCGCCUGUCUUCAGCAGCACAGCACGCGCUGCACGUGUCCCGGGCCCCGGCGCGAGUGGUGCGGCGCGUCAAGCCGGUGGGUGAGAUAAGACGCAGUUCCUCCUUCACUCCACGCUCGCCGCCCUGUAAGUGUUACCAGCGCUCGCCGCUCGCUCGACAGCAAGUCUGCAUGUGCUGCUGGUGGAUCUCAGUGAUGGCAGUUCCGCCAUGCAGUGAAUGAAGCGAGGCUGCAAGACUGGAUGCAAGGCUUGGAGCAGAUGCACCCGUAACUUUGGGCAACAGAGGGAGACGUGUGAAGAACGAUGGCCAAGAAAUACCUCGCCAUGACUGACCCGGCGUUACAAAGACGCCAUCAACACCAACAACUUCUCCAUGCUGAAGCUGGCGGUGCUGGUGUCGGAGUUUGCUCAGCACAUGGCUGUGGCCCACGAGCUGUUCUCAAAAGAAGUGCGGAGCGUGGUGGCCACGUUCAAACGACGUAGUUACGAGCUCAAGAGGGAAAGACCCACAGAUACACCUUGCUCCAUUUUCACUGCCUGGGAGAAACUGUUACAGGAGACAGAGAUGGAUGCUCAGGCACACCUUGAUGCUGCUGGCCUUCUGAUAAAAAACGUUCAUCGGCCCCUUCAGGAGGUAGCCAGCCACAAAACCAGCCAGACACGACAACUGAUCGCCUUCAGGGAGCUGCUGGAAAACCUCAUACAGCAGACGGAAUCCAACUUAGACCAGGUACAAGAGGCGUUUCAGAAGCUGGUGCGGUCUCUGCUGAAAGGACCGCGGGAGGAGGACAGUGAGAGAGCGCAGGCCACCCGUACCGAGCUGUGUACCUCCCACAACGACUACGUCCUGUGUCUGCGUGCCACCAACCGCACAGCAGAGGAGUUCCAGCGCGUGCUACCCGAAGUCUUGGAGGAGCUGGAGGAGAUUUACAUCGACACCAGCAACACAGUCAACGUUGCUAUCGAAGGUCAUGCCCUCCUCAUGCUGACGAAGGCUAACGAGCAGCAUCGGCGAUUUGAAGAGCAGCUGAAGAUGUGUCGUCAGGUCAACCCCCAGCUUGACGUGACCUGCUUCGUCACUGCCACCAAAUCCGACAGCUCCUCUGACGUCACAGGCUGUAAGCGCCACUUCUGCAUCUCACCUGGUGACCUCAGUCAGCUGGGGGUGGAGGUGGGACGGAACCAGCUGCUGCUAGACCAGUGCACCAUCGUCACCCUGGAGGAGCGACGUCUGAGCCUGCAGCGACGAGGGAUGGAGCUCUUGUCCGCCAUCAAACAGAGUCAGGACCGCAACAACGCAUACGUUAACGCCUGUCAAAGAAGUCUAGCAAAGCACCAGUACGCAAAAGUAUGAGACGCAGGAGGACAUGUGUCGCAAGCGGAAUGAGAUUCGGGUGGCCACCCUGCAACUCGCCGCCAUCAAAGCUCAGAUGGAGCUGCUGACGCACAAGCAGAACGGCUCGGUGACGGGUCUGGCGGGGGAAGGAGAAGUGGAAGGGGAAGAACAGGAAGGCAAGAAGGAGCACACGGCCACUAUCAAAGGACUGUGGAAAAAGGCAUUCAAGAA